UGUUAUAAUUGUGUGAGAUAUGCAUAAGAGUUGAAAAAUACUGGAAAAUAUUUUUGCACAGUAAUUACAUAUCAAAACAGGUGAUUGGAUAAACAAUAAUAAUAA